CUCGAUCACGCCGCGCCUGUAAAUCGUUCAGU
rnacentral:scRNA from 1 species